UGAAGUAAGGAAAAAAAAUUAUCGAAGACAGCUUUUUUUUCACUCGACUUUUGUUUUUGUUUCUGACUACAAGUCUUAGUGUUAUUUCUGUGGUGUUAAGCCGGGACCACUUCCCUCGAAGAGUGCCGUUUAGAGAAUCUAGGUUAAAAGUAAACGGGAUCGAAAGUUAUUCGACAAAAAAUCUAGGCUUAUGCUUUUGUGUCGGACGAGCUGCGAAAAAUUUCCCAAACUGAAAUGACGGUUCGAGAUCUAGGCCUACUCACUUAGUCACCCGAGCCCCCAACUUUUAAUUAGUUAAAACCGUUCGGCUCACCGUGUGACAUUUCCAAUCAAACACUAAACAACCCUAGAUCUAGCA